ensembl:lncRNA
GGGAUGAUCAGGUGUUAGCCUUCUCAAAACACCAUGGCCCCUUCUGGGCUAUGCAGAGCAGGUUUCUGAGCUGCAGGGAUCCUCUGGGAAAAGCUAACUGCUGAAAUGUGCUCUUCAAGAACAAUUCAAGAUGAGUGGCUCUCCCCAUGCCCUGUGGUUCUGAGCACCAGUCUCAUCUCUCUCUCCAGACAGGUGGGCAAAAAUGAGGCUGAAUCUGAGAGAGCCAUGGGUCUGCUGGGCUUCCCCUACUCAGAACCAGCCUUUCUUAUUGUUUCUUCUCUGGACAUGCAGGGCAGUAGAGAAGGCAGAGGUGGGAACUAAUCCUCAGCCUUGGGGCUCACUGCAUGCCACUCUGAUUCAUUUCCCUCUAAUCAGUCCUCCCUGCUUCCUUCUCCCCUACUCUCUUCAACCCAGAAUACCAAGAAUGCUGACCACAAGAAAUUCAGCAGAAAGUGGUAAAGUGAGAAAGUAAAAAGGUUGCAGUCAGAAACGUGUUUGAUGUCUCUGAGUCCCAUCCCAUUUGGGAAUCCACAGCCUCAGAGCCCCAUCCAUGCUGGCCAGUACUUAGGCACUGGGGACCCAUAGAUGUUUUCCUUCUGUGUUUUGAUUGAACUUCCUCAGGACUCAGAGGAGCAGGCAAGCUAUUUGUGGAGAAUCAUUUUCCAAGUCAUUUAUUUGUUUCCUUCUAUGCAUCUGUGCCUCCCUCUGUUACCCAGCGCAAGUGGAGGACUCUAGAGAAAGAAGGUGAGGGAAGCCAGGGGCGGGAAAUGCAUGGCCACGCCCAGGCCGGAUGAGCCCUGGCUGAAGUGGUCCCUGACCUGCCUUCACACCUAAGGAGAAGGCACUAACGCAGGACAGAAGCUCUGGACACCAGCACUGCUGGGCAACCCGUGGGCUUUGCUGUUAGAAAAUCUUUAGCUUCUGGGGCCUUCCCUGAGUUCCAAAGAGCAAGUAUCAACACAAUCAGAGAAGUGAGAAAAUUCAGAAACAAAAGAAAACCAUCAGAGACUAAAACCCCCAUUGGGUGUGAGAAGUUAACUACAUUGCUGACCAGAAGUACAUGGACCCAGACCAGCUGAAACCAGAAGGUUGAUGAUGUUGACUCCCAAUCACCUCACACCCAUCAACUAGAAGAGUGCCCACAUGCUCAUGAGGCACCUUGAGGCCCUCUCCCUCACCCUGUGUUUAGAAACCUCUCCCUGAAGCCACCAAGGAGUUCGGGUCUUUUGAGCAUUACCACCUGUACUCCUUGCUCGGC